GGCGCACGGGUGAGAUAAUAUAUAGAACCUGCCCUCGAGAAAGGAAUAACAGUUGGAAGCGACUGCUAAUGCCCUAUAUGCCUUUAAGACAUAAGUCUGCAAGGGAAAUGCUUUUGUGCUCGAGGAUGGGACUGUACGGUAUCAGUUAGUUGGUGAGGUAAUGGCUCACCAAGACAAUGACGCCUAACUGGUUUGAGAGGAUGAUCAGUCACACUGGAACUGAGACACGGUCCAGACUCCUACGGGAGGCAGCAGUGGGGAAUAUUGCACAAUGGAGGAAACUCUGAUGCAGCAACGCCGCGUGGAGGAUGACACAUUUCGGUGCGUAAACUCCUUUUAUAUAGGAAGAUAAUGACGGUACUAUAUGAAUAAGCACCGGCUAACUCCGUGCCAGCAGCCGCGGUAAUACGGAGGGUGCAAGCGUUACUCGGAAUCACUGGGCGUAAAGAGCGC
rnacentral:rRNA from 1 species